GACGAACGCUGGCGGCGUGCUUAACACAUGCAAGUCGAACGGAAAGGCCCUGCGUGUGUGGGGUUCUCGAGUGGCGAACGGGUGAGUAACACGUGAGUAACCUGCCCUUGACUUUGGGAUAACUUCAGGUAACUGGGCCUAAGAUCGGAUAGGAUCCCCCGCUCCAGGGUGGGGGUUGGAAAGUUUCGGCGGUUGGGGAUGGACUCGCGGCUUAUCAGCUUGUUGGUGGGGUAGUGGCUUACCAACGCUUUGACGGGUAGCCGGCCUGGGAGGGUGACCGGCCACAUUGGGACUGAGAUACGGCCCAGAGUCCUACGGGAGGCAGCAGUGGGGAAUAUUGCACAAUGGGCGGAAGCCUGAUGCAGCAACGCCGCGUGCGGGAUGACGGCCUUCGGGGUGUAAACCGCUUUCGCCUGUGACGAAGCGUGAGUGACGGUAAUGGGUAAAGAAGCACCGGCUAACUACGUG
rnacentral:rRNA from 1 species